GGACUAGGUAAUGCAUUUGGCUGAUGAGGUUUCUGUAUGAUGAUUACCGAUUGUGCUUUUAUUAUGGCCAAUGCUGUUUUGCAAAAAAAAUAUGUGCAUCUCACCUUAAUAUUAUAAAAGUGAACACAAGUAAUGUGAAAUAUGCAUGUGUACAUAAUAUGAAGUAUUCUCUCAACAUGAUCAGUCUUACUAAGUUUUUAUGGUAAUCUUGUUUUGCGAAAUUAGGCUAUAGUUUGUCUUUCGUUUUGUUCAUAGUUCUCAUGCCAGAAAUUAUUCUGAAAGUAAAAAUGAAUUCUCUCUCUAGAUUAUUUCCCCUUGAACAAAUUUGUUUCUCCAGUUCCCUGUAAAGCAUCUUUUGAAAUAAAAA
rnacentral:misc_RNA from 1 species